rnacentral:rRNA from 1 species
GACGAACGCUGGCGGCGUGCUUAACACAUGCAAGUCGAACGAAGUGGCGAACGGGUGAGUAAAGCGUAAUCAACCUGGCCUUCAGAGGGGGACAACAGUUGGAAACGACUGCUAAUACCGCAUACUGAAGGAGGGGAGUGCGUCUGAUUAGCGAGUUGGAGGGGUAACGGCCCACCAAGGCGAUGAUCAGUAGCCGGUGUGGGAGGAUGAACGGCCAACUUGGGACCUGGACACGGCCCAGACUCCUACGGGAGGCAGCAGUGGGGAAUCUUCCGCAAUUGACGAAAGUCUGACGGAGCAACGCCGCGUGAGUGAUGACGGCCUUCGGGUUGUAAAGCUCUGUUAAUCGGGACGCGGUACCGGAAUAGAAAGCCACGGCUAACUACGUGCCAGCCGCCGCGGUAAUUC